rnacentral:rRNA from 1 species
GACGAACGCUGGCGGCGUGCCUAAUACAUGCAAGUAGAACGCACAGUUUAUACCGUAGCUUGCUACACCAUAAACUGUGAGUUGCGAACGGGUGAGUAACGCGUAGGUAACCUGCCUGGUAGCGGGGGAUAACUAUUGGAAACGAUAGCUAAUACCGCAUAAUAUUGAUUAUUACAUGAUAAUUGAUUGAAAGAUGCUAUUGCAUCACUACCAGAUGGACCUGCGUUGUAUUAGCUAGUAGGUGAGGUAACGGCUCACCUAGGCGACGAUACAUAGCCGACCUGAGAGGGUGAUCGGCCACACUGGGACUGAGACACGGCCCAGACUCCUACGGGAGGCAGCAGUAGGGAAUCUUCGGCAAUGGACGAAAGUCUGACCGAGCAACGCCGCGUGAGUGAAGAAGGUUUUCGGAUCGUAAAGCUCUGUUGUAAGAGAAGAACGGGUGUGAGAGUGGAAAGUUCACACUGUGACGGUAUCUUACCAGAAAGAGACGGCUAACUACGUG